UCUAUUACCCAAUCACUCCUUCCAAUCAAGUUUUCUUGGAGCAUGUCUCAUACAUGAACCAGAUAUUUGACUUCAGACUGACUUCCAUAUUAACAGUAAAAUGUAAAAAAAAAAAACUUAAAUUAUACCUUGAUAACAUCCUGAUACUUGUAUCAAAACAUUAUCUUUACAAACAUAACAUAGAUAUAAAUUACAAAUACUAUGUAAUGUCUGCAAUUAAAUACUAUUAAAAAUAAUAAAUAUUCAUCCAGACGAACCAUUGAAAAAUAAUAAAAUUAUUUAAAAUUAUCUACACUACUGUAAACACUUCACCGUUAUGACAUAUGAAAAUAAGUCUUACUUGUGAACCGUUUAAUACAACUCAUUAUCUAUCUUUCAAUUUAAUAAUCAAAUACAUAUAACCAUUUCACACUCAAACCCAUAUUUGAAAUAACUUGAUAAAAUUCAUUUAAAAAUAAUGCAUUAAUAUCUCUUUAGAAUAUAAAAUUGUGAUAAUGCAUGUUCAUUGACAUGUCAUCAUCGUAUUUUGCUGUCAAAGAUCUCAUUCACUAUGAGGUGUGUAAUUAGUCAUGGUCUUAGCUUCUUGUGAAGUGUAUAGUCAACAAAAACUACCCUUUGAAAAUGGGUCGAAUCGUUAUACGAUUUUAGCCUACUGAUAAGAAUUUGUUGACUAUUUUGUGUAUUUCUUUGUAAUAAAAAUAUCAACAAAUCCAGGUUGAUUGCAAUCCGACAUUUGUCUAAUUGUAAAAAUCCAUAUAUACAAAAAUAUUACAAACUUUCACACACUUCUUGCAAAAACAUCAAAUACUCAUUAGUCUAUUCUUAUAAUUAAAUAGUUAAUCAUCUUUCAUUGGCUUUCAUUUCCCAGUUCACUCAAUCUAUCCCAGACCAUUUCUACAGAUAGCCAAAGUCUCGAUAUGCAACCAGAGUUAAAAUGCAUCCAAUAACUUACUUUAAAAAACAAUAUUUCAGACAACUCCAAGCUCCCUCCUAUAUAUUGUAUAACAAUAUCAAACGUAAUGUGUAUUGACAAAACUGUUUAUAUUUAAGUUGAAGUUGUUUAUUAAGAUAACGUUAAUACCGUACCGUUUUAUUUAAGGUUACGUUAUUACAUCUUAUCAUGGCAACACUAAAACUCAAUAUUUUAUCAUGGCAACCCCGCAAUGAAGCGUCCCGGAAGUGACAGAGGGGAUGUGUUAAGCUUCUAUCUGAUCAAACUGACCAUUGUUACUGGCUCAGUUUUGAAUUUCACCCUGUGUCGUGAAGUGAAAUGUAAUUGUGAAGUGUAAUGAAUUUUGUUGCUGAAGAAAAUAAUUGGCUCUAAUGAAUGAAUCCGGGUCGCUGGAUGAGUUGGGUGACCCUGAAUCUACCCUUUAGAUACGUAAGGCGUUUUUGAGUAAGCUGAUAUGUAAUUAGUCCUCCUAAUUAUAUGACGACAUUUUAUAAAUGUUCCAAGUAACGAGGUAUCGAAUGCCACUGAAUGCUGUCCUGUUAUUUUAUUUUGAGGUAAUGUUAGUCCCUACAAUGCAAGUUACAUCGGUAGAGUGCAGCCAAGAGGAGAAAAAAUUAUAUUGAUAAUAUUAUAAUAUAUAUAUAUAUAUAUAAUUUAAAAAAUUUCAAGAAAAAUCCAAAUCAUAUUGUUCACAUUCCAGUUUUCUUACGGCAGCAAAAAUGUAGCCGACGAGGCUACUCUAUGUAAUAAACUAUUUAUAUAUAAUCCUGGUCACGGCACCAAAAAUUGUACCUUACCCCAUCUACUACUAAACUUAAUUAACUAAAAUUCAACCAGGAUUAAAUAAAAAUAGGAAAAUAAAUAAAUUUGGCCAUGUGAUCGUCUAGGGUAUUUACGUUGUGAACCUUAGUACCCUUCGUCUUUUAUGUGAAAACUGAUACGAUUUGGAUUUCUCAAAACUAUCCCUAAAUAUCCUAUGAAUUUGUAAAUAUUCCUACUGUAUAUUUUUAUUAACACUAUUGUUAGACAAAUAAAAAAAAUAGUAAAUAAUAUAUAUUUUUUAGAAUUUAUCUCCUACCGGGCCCUACCGUGACCAGUUACCGUGAACAGUAGUAAGCCCUUUUUGUUUGUAAUUUAAAACUUAUAUUUUCCUUUUAAUAUAUCUCUUCGCUAACCUAGCUAGCUAAAGGAAAAUAUGUAUAUGUAACCAUUGUAACCAUAAAUAAAUAUUGCAAAGAAUAGUAAGUACAAACAUACUUUAUCUACUGUCACGCCCGGAUGAAGACGGGUCUCUAAGCUAAUUAAUACCCAUUUUAUUUUAUUUUAUUUUUAAUAGGUAUUCCUAAGCACCAUGUAAUAUUACUCUACCAACGUUUCGUAACCUAAUUUCAGACGAGAAGAAACGCCAAGAAACUCAUCUGAAUGUACUAUUAAUGUAUGGAAUACUGAAAACAAUCGUCUAUUAAAUAUGACUUUAUUUACCCUUUAAUUCCCCAGUUAUAGAAAAGCUCAAUUGUCACUAGUGAACUGCUCCGCCUGUCACUAGCUCCCUAUAACAAAAUUAUUUAGUAUGUCCUCAAAUAACUUUGUUCCCCUAUCUCACCCAAUGUAAAAAUAUAUAAACCUUCAAUCAUAUUUAAUGUACGAGCCUCAGUAACCCAUCCAUAUGCUACUGAAGAUAGAUUUUAAUUUAUUUUGUAAUUAAAACAGUUAAAACUCUAA